UGAAUACGAGAUGCUACGGCGUCGAAGCAGUCUAUGUCAUACUUCCAAGAAAAGCUUGCACUGUCAUAAACAAAUAAUGCCUGUACCAUAACCGACACAGGUGGGUAGGUAGAGUAUACUAAGGGGCGCGAGAUAACUCUCUCUAAGGAACUCGGCAAAAUGACUCCGUAACUUCGGGAGAAGGAGUGCCUUAUUUAUAAGGUUGCAAUAACAAGAUCCAAGCAACUGUUUACCAAAAACACAGGUCUCCGCUAAGUCGUAAGACGAUGUAUGGGGGCUGACGCCUGCCCAGUGCCAGAAGGUUAAAGAAGUUGGUUAGCAUCCGCGAAGCUGAUAACUGAAGCCCUGGUGAACGGCGGCCGUAACGAUAACGGUCCUAAGGUAGCGAAAUUCCUUGUCGGGUAAGUUCCGACCCGCACGAAAGGCGUAAUGAUUUGGAUACUGUCUCGGAGAGGGGCUCGGUGAAAUAGACUUGUCUGUGAAGAUGCGGACUACCUGCACCAGGACAGAAAGACCCUAUGAAGCUUUACUGUAACCUGAAAUUGAAAUUGGACUUUACUUGCGCAGUAUAGGUGGGAGGCAUUGAGAAUAUUCUUGCGGGAUAAUUGGAGCCAUCAGUGAGAUACCACUCUUGUAAUGUUAGAUUUCUAACUUUGUAUCAUUAUCUGGUCAAAGAACAGUUUCAGGCGGGCAGUUUGACUGGGGCGGUCGCCUCCUAAACGGUAACGGAGGCGCACAAAGGUUUCCUCUGAACGGGUAGAAAUCGUAUCUAGAGUGUAAAGGCAUAAGGAAGCUUGACUGUGAGACCUACAAGUCGAGCAGGGGCGAAAGUCGGUCUUAGUGAUCUGACGGUGCUGAGUGGAAAGGCCGUCACUCAACGGAUAAAAGUUACUCUAGGAUAACAGGCUGAUCUCCCCCAAGAGUUCACAUCGACGGGGAGGUUUGGCACCUCGAUGUCGGCUCAUCGCAUCCUGGGGCGGUAGUACGUCCCAAGGGUUGGGCUGUUCGCCCAUGAAAGCGGUACGCGAGCUGGGUUCAGAACGUCGUGAGACAGUUCGGUCCAUAUCCGGUGUAGGCGUUAGAAUAUUGAGAGGAGCCUUCUUUAGUACGAGAGGACCGAGAAGGACAUACCUCUGGUGUACCAGUUAUCGUGCCAACGGUAAACGCUGGGUAGCUAUGUGUGGAGUGGAUAACCGCUGAAAGCAUCUAAGUGGGAAGCCCACCUCAAGAUAAGUAUUCUCA
rnacentral:rRNA from 1 species